GACACCAUAGCCAAGUGGUUACGGCGACAGAUUAGAAUCUCUAAGUGCCUGUGUUCAUAUAUCUGUUCCUCUUUGAGGGCGCAGGUUCGAAUCCUGCUGGUGUCG